rnacentral:rRNA from 1 species
AUACGGAGGAUGCGAGCGUUAUCCGGAUUUAUUGGGUUUAAAGGGAGCGUAGGUGGGAUAUUAAGUCAGCUGUGAAAGUUUGGGGCUCAACCUUAAAAUUGCAGUUGAUACUGGUUUCCUUGAGUACGGUACAGGUGGGCGGAAUUCGUGGUGUAGCGGUGAAAUGCUUAGAUAUCACGAAGAACUCCGAUCGCGAAGGCAGCUCACCGGGCCGGAACUGACACUGAUGCUCGAAAGUGCGGGUAUCAAACAGGAUUAGAUACCCUGGUAGUCUGCACAGUAAACGAUGAAUACUCGCUGUUUGCGAUACACGGUAAGCGGCCAAGCGAAAGCGUUAAGUAUUCCACCUGGGGAGUACGCCGGCAACGGUGAAACUCAAAUGAAUUGACGGG